rnacentral:misc_RNA from 1 species
GAAGACAUCAUAGCAGCACGACCCACUUAACAUCAGAGUUAACUGUGUCUCCCUAUCUGUUACCUAUUUACACUUUAAUAUUGCUGCAUCCUUUCAAAGCGUUUUUCCAAACCACCAGAAAGUGUUCUUGAACAACAUUAAAGGGUUUUAAGCUGGAAAAAUGGCUAGUCAAUUAGCUAAAAAUAUUUAAUGCAGUGUGUACAUCUUGUCAUUCAAUGAUGGUACACCA